UACGUAGGUGACAAGCGUUGUCCGGAUUUACUGGGCGUAAAGAGCGCGCAGGCGGUCGAUCAAGUCGAGUGUGAAAGCCCCCGGCUCAACUGGGGAGGGUCAUUCGAUACUGAUCGACUCGAAGGCAGGAGAGGGUAGUGGAAUUCCCGGUGUAGUGGUGAAAUGACGCAGAUAUCAGGAGGAACACCGGUGGCGAAGGCGGGUCUCUGGGCCGAUACUGACGCUGAGGAGCGAAAGCGUGGGGAGCGAACAGG
rnacentral:rRNA from 1 species